rnacentral:rRNA from 1 species
CCUACGGGUGGCAGCAGUGAGGAAUAUUGGUCACUGGGCGCGAGCCUGAACCAGCCAAGUCGCGUGAGGGAAGCCGGUCCUAUGGAUUGUACACCUCUUUUGUCGGGGAGCAAAAGACGCCACGCGUGGCGUUCCGAGAGUACCCGAAGAAAAAGCAUCGGCUAACUACGUGCCAGCAGCCGCGGUAAUACGGGGGAUGCGAGCGUUAUCCGGAUUUAGUGGGUUUAAGGGGUGCGCAGGCGGAAGAUCAAGUCAGCGGUAAAAUUGAGAGGCUCAACCUCUUCGAGCCGUUGAAACUGGUUUUCUGGAGUGAGUGAGAAGUAUGCGGAAGGCGUGGUGUAGCGGUGAAAUGCAUAGAUAUCACGCAGAACUCCGAUUGCGAAGGCAGCAUACCGGCGCUCAACUGACGCUCAUGCACGAAAGUGUGGGUAUCGAACAGGAUUAGAUACCCGAGUAGUC